ACUUUUGAAUUCUGUUUUAUAUCAAGCUAUAAAAACCUGGAUCCUGUUCAACAUACAUACAAAAGCAGUACUCUAAAAAAUAAUUAUUAUUAUAUUAACAAUAUCAAACACGCUAACUCCUACACACGUACAAAGACCUUGGGCAUCCUUUAUACCGGCCACUUCCUGGCCACAGCUUUGUAAGGCAGUACCUGGGAAAAGGGGACGGACCCAAGAGAGCCGGCCCCAAAUCCUGACUCAGCACUGCAGAGGCAUCAGCCGGGCUGAGUCAUGCCUGAGUCCGAAGGGCCCCCUCUCAGGCUGAGAAGGAACUUUCAGGCCCAGGGAGGAGCAGAGCCUUAGGGGGAGCACAUGCCGAGCAGGAAAACGAGCUCACAUUUUCCUGGGGUAGAGCGAGGUGCCCGGCAGGGCAGGGGAUGAACGGAGGGUGCGGUGGGCAGAAUAACGGCCUCCCAAAGAUGUCCACGUGACAGUCCCCAGAGCCUGUGACUAUGUUAGGUUACACAGCCAGUGGGAACUAAAGUUGCAGAUGGAACUAAGGUGGCUAAUCAGCUGACCUGAAAAUAGAAAGACGACCUGGGUUCUCUGGGUAGGCGCAAUGUGAUCAUAAGCGUCCUUAAAAGCGGUAGAGCAGGCCGGGUACAGUGACUCAUGCCUAUAAUCCCAGCACUUUAGGAGGCUAAGGCUACAAGAUCCCUUGAGCCCAGGAGUUCCAGACAAGCCUAGGCAACAGAAUGAGACCCUGUAUCCACAAAAAAUAUGUAGCUGGGCGUGGGGGAUUGUCUCAGGGGACUGAGACAAGAGGAUCACUUGAACCAGGAGGUCCAGGCUGCAGUGAGCCUUGAUGCCAUGACCAGGCCACUGCACUCCAGCCUGGGCAACACAGCAAGACCCUGUCUCAAAAAAAAAAAAAAAAAAGUGGUGGAGGGAGGCAGGAGAGGGGAGGCCUCAAUGAGGUGACGGGAAAAAGAUUCAACUACCCACAGCUGGCUCUGAAGAUGGAGGAGCCUGAAGUCAAGAAUUACGGUCAGCCUCUAAAAAUGAAAAGGCCAGAAAUGAAUUCUCCCCUAGAGCCUCCAGAAGGAGUGCAGGACUGCCGACACCCAGAUUUGAGCCCCGGGUCAGCCUUCUGACCCGCAGAACUGGAAGACCUCGUUUUGAUCCACGAAGUUUGUGGAAACCUGUCACGGCAAUAGGAAACAAAUACAGAGGCCAAAGGGUCAACAGUGAGAGGUCAAGCUUGCCCUGCCCCUGCCCAGACCUCAGCCAGACUUCUGGGUGGCAGGGCCCACGGUGGCACCCCCAGGGCCUGUCCCUGCCUUGGGGAAGGGGGAGCCUGAGAGGACCCAGGAGGUCUUGGGCCCUUCGGUAGUAGACACCAAGCCCUCGGGGGACCACCCUCUAGUUGAGGCCUUGGGGGAUGAAGAGGGAGGGCUCAGGGCCCCAUUGCAGGGCCAGCCUGUAGGGGCCGUGGGGCCACCUGGAUGUGACGUCUAAUGCUGGCGGUGCUCACAGCUCGCCACAGGACCCUAAAAGCCCCUGCCAGACGAGAGCUCAUCUUUUCCUUCUUUCUCUUCCAGUUCUGUCUUCCAUUCCACCAUUGCUGAAUCCCGCUCACGGCGGCCCUGGGCUGCAGAGGGCAGAUGGGGGCCGGGAGGGCUCCUGCGCCCCCAUGCUGACGUCCAAGAUGCUCCGGAUGCGCUUGACCUCACUGUUGGAUAGGUUCCCCUUGAUGGCCAGGAUAGCGCUCAGGUGGCCUUUGCUGGCAAAGAGAGCAUCCUGUCAGCCCAGCCUGUCACCCACACCCCUACUCACCAGCUCCCUGCACUCCCGGCCAGUGCCACAGGGCCCGACAGCCAACGCCCGGCCCACGAGGGGGCUGCACUUCACUCUCCCUCACCCAUGCCCUCCACCUGAUGGUCCCAAGAGCAGCCAUGCCCCAGCCUGCUUCAGGCCUCCGCACCGGCUGUUCCCCUGCAAUGUUCUUCCCAGGCCCUGAGAUGACCGCCUCUUCCCACCCCUUAGGUCUCCGCUAAGAUGUCCACCCCCAAAAGGCUUUCUUGUCUCUAAAGUCGGCACCUCCUAUCAUUCACAACCUUGGUUAAACCCUAUUUACAACUUGUAAUUGUCUGUUUCUUUGCCUGAUUAUGUCAUUAGUAUUGCUGGCCCUCAACAGAAUGAGCUACUUAAGGGAGGACUGAGACCUGGCUUCCCUUGUACUUCAUUGCAUCCUGGUAACUAGAACAGAGGCUGACACCUAGCAGACUUCUCCAUAAUUGUUGGUGGCAUAGGUAGAUGGAUGGUGGGUGGGUGAGCAGAUGGAUGAGAGCUAGAUGGGUGGAGGGAUGGGAGCAUGGAUGAGUGAGUAGAUGCAUGGGUGGAUGGGUGGGUGGGUGAGUGGUUGAGUGGAUGGAUAGCUAAAUGGGUGGAGGGGUGGAUGGAUGAGUAGAUGGGUGGAUGGGUGCUUACAUGGGUAGGUGGAUGAAUAGAUGGAUGGAUAGACGGGUGGGUGGGUGGGUGGGUGGAUGGGUAGACAGGUGAUGAGUGGGUGAGAAGAUAGACGGAUAGCCAGAUGGGUGAAGGAAUGGGUGGAUGAGCAGAUGGGUGCUUGUAUGGUGGGUGAAUGAAUGAAUGGGUGGAAUGGAUCAGACAGGGACUGGACUUGGCGAAGCUGGGGUCAACCCUGUCAAGACCCAUUCAAACUUACCCUAACAUGUCAGAGGACCCAGCCCAGGAAGAAACAAUGUCCCUGGCCCACCAGAACUUCAGGCAGCCAAGGGCUAAGCCUCCACUCCCGAAUAUGAGCCCUGGUCCCAGAGCAUAGGCCUAGGCCGCAGAGGCCCCCCAGGCUGGGUGAAGCUGGCCUCUCUGGUCUCAGUCUCCCCUGUGAGAGGCAGUGUCAGGUAAAGCUAAGAGUGUGGGCCAUGCAGCCAGACACUAACUAGCCGUGUCACCUUGGACACAUCCUGUGAGCUCUCCAGGCCUCCUCUGUGAAACGGGAAUGGGAAGUAUUGUCCUCGUAGUGCUGUGGUGAAGUCAGGGUAGCAGGUGGCAUAAGUGGCCACCUCAAUCUUGAUGGCACUGGGGUCCUGCAGGCGAAUGAUCUCGGCCAGCGUAGGGAGAGCAGGCUGCAGCCAGGUCGCCGGGGAGCCCUGCAGGAGUGGGUGUGGUUGGAGGGACCCAGGGGUCCAGAGGCUCGGGUCAGCGACUCGUUGGGCUUAGAGAGGCACCAGCGGCCUAUCUCCGACCCUGAAAGGGCUAGGGGAGAAGAGGCAGCCAUUUCAGAGGGGCUUGGGAGAGGUGGGCAGCGGCUUACGUGCUGGGUGCAGAAGUGCUGGAUGGUGUCAGCAUUGGCCAGGAUGUACCCAGCCAGCUGCUGCUGCUGCUCGGCCGUCUUGAGGACCAGGCGCCCCUUGCUGAGUUGGAUGAUGUACUCCUUCACCAGGUGCAGGUGCAAGGCCUCCAUGAGCUCCUGGGAGGGCAAGCAGCCAGGGGCGUGUGAGCUGUCUGCUGAUGGGGAGCUCGCCACCUCCCUUGAAGCCUUGUAGCCAGGCCUCCAGAGAGAGGCAGAUGCCAGAGCAAAAGACUGCACACGUGCUCGUGCGUCCACAUGUGUGCGUUCACAUGCUCAUGCGUUCACAUGCGUGUGUGUUCACAUGUGCAUGCGUUCACGUGUUCACAUGUGUGUGUUUACAUGCUCGUGCCUUCACGUGUGUUCAUAUGUGUGCAUGUGUUCACAUGCUCGUGCAUUCACAUGUGUGUGUUCACAUGCUCGUGCGUUCACAUGUUCGUGCCUUCACGUGUGUUCACAUGUGCACGUGUUCACAUGCUCGUGCAUUCACGUGUGUUCACAUGUGCGCGUGUGAGCACAUGUGCGUGAGUGUACACAGACGUGCUAGUGUGCGUGUCCGGGCUGCCCCCAACUCCCCAAGACCCAGCCACCAGCCCAGAGCCUCCUCACCUCCCGGAAACAGCCCUGCAGCUCUGAGAACUCAGGCAGCCUCGUGUCUACAGUGGCGAUGAUGUUUUCCAGGGUCUCCACAGGGGCCGCCCAGCGGGUGUGCGUGAACCUCUUGAACAGUGGCUGAGACAGGAGAGGCAGGAUGUCUAGUCACGCCCUGGAGAGGAAGGGCUGCCAGCCGCAGACACGCAGACACGCAGACACAGACACACACCGACACAUGUGCCUGGUGGAGGGGCGGGGGGCACUCAAGGACUCCCAGGGAACCCGGGCCAACCUCAGGUCCCUGCUCACAGACAGGAAGUGGGAGCCGGCUCUGUGCACCCUUAUCCAAGGUCACCCAGUGCGGCUCAGGAGCCAGGAGAGCCUGUCUGCCGGCCCGGAGGCCAAGUCCACUGCCACUUAAAUAAAUAAAUUCCUUCAUAAACAAGACCUUGUGCUUGGCUGGGCCAGGGAGAUCAGUACCAGGGGAUGUGGGGUCACCGCUCGGGCUUCCACCACACUCAGGCCACCCAUGGCCGCUAGUCCCUGACACCGGGAAGAGAACCUCUCCCCUUCCUUUUGAGAGACCCCCCACUUUACACCCUGCUAAAGGAACUACUUGUUUUCACAGCAUUUUCUGUGGAUUUCUUGGCCCAUAACAGAUAUAACCCCAGCUGCCGAUGACCCUGAGCCUCAGUUGCUGGGAGUCAGGCGCGGGGAUGGGGGUGGAUAGGAGGGGCUGAGGGGAUUGAAGGAAAGGUGUCUGCAGGCUUGGGACUGGGCUGUGUCUGAAUCGGGGAGGGGCAGUGAAACUUUUCCAGGCCCUCCCAGCCCCAGGCGGCCCCUCUCAGGUGAAACCCCAGGACAUGAUCGGCGGAGUUCAGAGCCUGCUAGGGUCCCCAACCGGGCAUCACCGCUGCACCAGAGCUGGCCCACGGUGCCGUCCACAGGCCUGGAGCGUGUCUUCCCCACAUCUUUGCUUCUGCCACUCCUCCCUGGGGGCACCUCCCAGUCCCUCCCUGGGAACCCCCCAACACUGGGCUCCUGAGGGCAAGAGGCUCCCGCUACCUUCAGGUCCUCAUGCAGGUUCUGGAGCAGGGUGUCAAAGCCGUGGCUCUUGAGCUCACCCAGGGGGCCCAGCAGGAGGCUCAGGGUGUCCUGGGGUACCUGCCAAUUCUGCUCCAUGGACAUCCUGGAAGGUGGAGGCAGAGAGGUCACCCCAGCCCUGCUCAGCCUAUAGCCCCAUACCCAGGGAGCCAGACAGCCCCCUCUCUUCACUCUAGAACCCUCAAUGGCUCCCCAUUCUCUAUGGGAUCAAGUCCUCCCAUCCAUGUUCUCCAUGCCCUCAGGACACUCCUCCACUACAUCCCCUUGUAACUGGGGGCAAGUGAGCCUCCUCCAGUGGUUUGCCCAUCUGCCUAAUAGACAGAUCACUAUACCUACUUCACAGGGUUGCUUUAAGGAUAAGAUAAUGGGUGAAACAUCUGCCUGUGUGCUUGCCCCAGCCAGCACUUGGGAAAUGUUUGCUGCUGCUGCUGCAGGCCGUGGAGUCCUCACACAUGUUGCUGGUUUGAAUUCCACUUCUUGGCCUAAGCAGCUCCUCCUCCCUCCACCUUCCAGCUCCCCUCUCCUGCCCGCUGAGUGACUCCCACUCCCGCAAGCCCCUCCCAACACUCUCACCGGAAGGACAGGCAGUUGUUGAUGUUGGCAAUAACAUUGGCCCUGUAAUUCGUCAGCUGCUUGCCUCUCUCCAGAAAUUCAUUAAAGGCGCGCUGGUAGCUGGCGAAACCAGAAGGGGCACAUUCAGGACCAGCCCAAACACUGGGACCACAGCAGCAGCCUCCCUGCCCUCCCUGCCAGCUCCUGGGGUUCACUUUUCUGUUUGGCUGCCCAUAGCCAAGGGAGGGGCCGCUAGCCCCUGGGCAUCAUGGAACUGGCUUCACAAGCUAAGGCUUGGGCUCCUGAAGAGGGUACCAGCCCAUCUCUGCUGCUCCCAGGCCCUCUCUAGAGUUGGGAGACCAGGUAGGAGUGAGCGUGUGGUUGGCUGGAGAAGCCCUCAGAGGUCGAGAGGGAGAGAGCAGAGAGAAUUCAGGUGGUGGAGACUAGGAGUGUUGUAUGAAGGGGUGGCGGGGUCUCAGUCCCUCCUGGGGUAUCCUCUUUGAAGCUAGAGGCUGCUCUGCUGAGAGCUUUGCUGAUGGGGUGGGCGCAAGAGGCUCCCACGUUGAAUCCUGGUGGAGGUCAGACCACCUGAGGCUCUCAGUGCCCUGGCUGAGUGGGAAACAACUCCUGGCUCAGAAUGACAGGGACAGGGGUAGAGGGCGGGGAUCCAGCUCAGCUCCCCACCUGAGGCACUAGGGAGGGGCCGUGGCUCUGAGAGCGGUGGCUACAGGGACCCCAUCCUGGGCACACACCCACCUCCUCAGGAACGCAGGCAGCUCCACCAGCAGCACCCGCUUUAUCUGUGAGCCCAAGUCCAGCGUGAUGCUCUCGGCCUUGGCCUGGGCCUGGGAGGUGAUCUGCAGGGUGGUGGUGGGUGAGCUGAGCAGGGGCUCGCCUGGACAAGGGGGCAGGGGACGGGGAGGAAACAGGCGGGAACAGAGGGGGUGCCCCGAGGUGGGCAUGGGUAUGCACACAGGACGGAAUGUGCGUGGGGCUCCCCAUGCACGUGCACGGGCGGUACGUGUGCCCUGGGGCAGAUUGCAGUACCUGGAUGAUGUCGAUGGCCAGCUCGCUGUGGCAGUGGCCGUCCAGCCUCUGGGGAGGCACAUCCUCAGCCCAGCGCCGUGCCUCUAGCUCCAGAGCUCGGUCCAUCAACUCCCUCACAUUGGCCUGGAGGAGGAGGGGCAGGUCACUGGGGCACUAUCCCUCACCUCGCUCACCUGGAAGACCCGUCAAGCUCCCUGCCCAUGUCCUGUCUGUCUCCGAGCCUCUCCUCUGCUGCCUCCCUGCCCCUCCCUGGCCCAGGUGGAGACUCACCGCCUCACUGGACAGGAAUGUGGCCUCCAGCAGUCGGAUCUGCCUGGGGGGCAGGAGGCUCCCGAGCCCCAUACCCUGCAGCUCACCCACCAGCUUGGGGCUGUUGAUGAUGUCACUGCAGGCAGGGGAGGCUGGCAUGAGGACAACUAUACCAAAUCAGCACCACCACUCAAGCUAGAGCCCAGGCCCUCAGCCUUGGUCUCUGGCAGGCCCAGACUGCCCAGCACACCCUCCCGCACCCCCACCCGGUCCCCAUUUCAGAUGAUGGGUCCUCCAUCUACUUAGUUUGGUUUGGAACAGAAACUCUGAAGUCAUCAUGCCUCCUCUGACUCUCUCACCACCCCCCCCCCAUUAGGUCCUGCUCCAAAAUAGCCCCCAAAAUCAGCAGCCUCAUGCCACUCUGGCGCCCUGGCCGGCUCCCAUCAGCUCCCCGCUGGCUCACUGCAAAAGCCUCCUCCCGGCCUCUCUGCUCCUUCCCUCACCUCCAACAAUUCCUUCUUCACCCAGCAGCCAGAGCCACCUUUAAGAUCUGAUCUUCUUCCUGCUCCAAGACUACCUGUCACCCAGAUAAAACCCUGCUCCUACUCACAGCAGCCCUGGAAUCCAGCCAGCUCCCAGCCCACUGCGCUCCAGCCCUGCAGGUCUUGGGCAUCUCACCAGCCCCGGCCACCUCCCAAUCCCAGGGGUAGGCCAGAAUGGGCAGGAAGGGCUGCCCCAAACUGCUCCACAGACGCAUCUUGGCUCACUGUCCUGGCGCCUCUGCAGCGCCCCAGAGCUCCCAGGGGACUGCCCAGCCCUGGCACUUCCUAAGGGCCCUUUGUCUGCCUAGAGGUUUACAAAUGACCUUCUCUCUGCCCCUCACCCAAUCCAGAUGCAGCUGUGUCCCUCCGUUCCCCACAUUUCUGGCACACAGGCUUCAACGAUGCCCCCCUGGGCACCCUCUCACCAGGGCUCCAUGCCCAGCUUGGCUUUAGUUGCCUGUUGCUAACCCCAGGCCAGCAGACCCCGAGGUCACUGGGACAGAAAGACUGGCAGGCAGGGGUGCAGGUGCCCGGCAUUUCCUGGUGAGUCAGGACGAGCAAGCGGGAACUGGCUCUGGGCUGGGUUAUCUCUCCCGUGGCCCCUGCCCUGUGCCAGUUCCCCUAUGCCCUGCUGACUCCUCUCCCACCCUCUCCACUGGACCCUUUCUCUAUCCUUCUGCCAGAGGCUGACCCUUCAACACGAACUGAGCCCACAGGCCACCCAAGGCCCCCGAGACGGCAGACACUGCCCACACUGUCUAUACCUCCAGGCUUCCUUCCUAAAGUUUCACACUAGGAUCUGGGGCCAGCAGUGGCCAAGCCCCACAAUAACAGCCCCUGGACUCCCCCGCCCUGGGCCUUUCCACACUGCAGUAAGCCUCUCUCCAUGCAGACCGUGCGAAUGACGGGCACGCCCAGGGAUCUAUGGAGUCAAGGGACGCCUGAGGCUGUACUCAGCAGGGGUACCAGCUGCACAGCCAGCCUCCCACCUGAGGGGCUCCAGCUCUGCGGCGGGCUCACAGGGUAACCCUACACAAUGGGGGUCUAACAAGACACGUGGCCCUAGCCCAUCACUUGGAACUCUCCUGCCUGGGGGUGCCCGCAUAGCUCUGCUCAGCUCCAGAGUGCCCUGGAAGAGGACAUGCUCAGGAGCACCGACCUUCCUCUCACCUUCUCCCCUACCUGCCCUAUCACCCCUCCUCCUGCCUCCUGGCCUGAUUCCCUGGCUCAGAGAAGGACCGCUGGCUUUCACCUCCUCCAGGCUGGCUUCCCUGACUUCUCCAGGCCUGCUUUGGGCCCAUGCUCUGCACGGGGCCUGGCCUCUGCUGCCACAGCCCUUCCAGCUCUGGAUGGUUAUUGAUUGCUUUGCCCCCUCCUCAGACUGGGCGCUCGUGAAUGAAAUCCCUACCAUUUUCUGUGCCUCAGUUUCCCCAACAGCAGAAUGUGACUGAGGCCCAGGAAAUUAAGGAUUCCAAGAGCAACGCAGACCCAGCCCCAGCCUUAUCCCUGUGUCCAGGCCCAGUCUCUGCCUGUCCAGGCUCUGCCCCAGGGAGUCCAAGUCCCACCCCUGCAUUCUCGGACCCAAAACUCUGCAAACACCGACCUCACUAAAAGCUGCCGGCGGCACACCUCGACACCCCUCGACACCCCUCCUACAGAGGACACCCUCCCUGCCGGCCCGGGCCCAGCCCCUGGUCUGCUCACUUGGGGUAGAGGUUCUGCACCCAGAGCAGCAGCAUGUAGGUGUCGCGCUCGCACAGCUCGAACUGCGCCACGGCGGCCAGGUGGGCCGCGAAGUGCUGGUGGUAGCUCUCGGCGUAGGCCGCCACGACGCCGAACUCGGCGGGGAACAGCGGCUUCAGCCGCUCCACCACGGCCUCCAGGUCCUCCUUCAUGGUGCGGCCCAAGUGCAGAAAGACGCUCUCGGGGACCUCGGCGCCCGCGGCCGGCCGCUGGCCCAUGCGCUCCUCGGCCGCCUCCGCCACGCCGCGCCGCCACAGCUGCAGCCAGCGCCGCGGGCGCGUGGCCGCCAGCCCCGAGGUCCCCGGCCCCGCCGCCGCCGCCUGGCGGUCCUCGCGCUCCUGCUCCGCCACCACGGCCAGCGCCUGGCGCAGCCGCUCGGGCGGCGCCUCCAGCGGCCGCCGCAGCACGCCCAGCACCUGGUCGCGCAGCAGCUCGUACAGCGCCUCCACCUUGCUCUGGCGCCGCACCAGCUCCUCCUCGCUCACACCGCCCGCCGCCGCCGCCGCCGCCAGCUCCCGCUCCAGCGCCAGCAGCGGCCGCGCCGCCUCCAGCUGCCCGCGCUCCAGCGCCGCCUUCAGCUCCUCCACUGCGCCGGGAAAGCCGCGUCAGCCCCGGCCCCAGCCCACCGCCCACCGGGCGGGGCGGCCAGCGCCAAGCGGGACCGUCCUCCCCUAGACGCGCACAGGGCCGGCGGCCAACACCCUAAAGGGUGAUGUCGGUGUCCCUGACUAGGCUGAAGGCCUCCCAGCCCCCCAGAUUGCGGCACAGGUGAAAGCAGGGAGACAGACGCGCCUUCCAGCCCCACUUGCCGGCCCACUGUGCAAGUGGCUCACUCACGCGGAUGAGCGCCAACCCCGUCCAGGCCCCAGACUAGCUCUAACCCAGGGUCCUAGAGCACCUGUGGGGGGCGGGCCAUCCAGCCCCUGCCUGGACCCGGCUGCGUCCUCGGGCUCCGCUGAGCUGGGCUGACCCUUCUUCUUCUUCCCUUUGGUGAAGACGCAGAACACAUUGGCCAGGCCUUUGGACUUCUUCUUCUUCUCCUUCUUCUUCUUCGCCGCCUCUUCCUCCUCCCUAUAUGGGGCUGCCCCAGCCUCCAGGGGUGGCACCAGGUCCUCAGAGGAGGCCUCCGACAUGGAGGCCUCUGACUCUGCCUCUGAUGUGGACUGCAACUUUUGGGGGCCUCUAGGCAAGUCGAGGGUGCCUGGCACAGGCUGAUGGCUCUAGAGGCCUUGGAAGAAGGUCAUCAUCUUCAGCAUCACCCUGGUUCAGGCCUGCAGGCUCUGUCCCACCUCCAGGCACAGCUCCCGCAGGACCCCCACAGCAUCACCGCCUUCUCCCCUCUGUGACACGAAACCCAGAGCGCCUGAAGGUCCUGCUGCAGCCCCCUGGGCCUCGCCCCAGGUCUCCGCUCUCCGAGGCAGCUGGUGCCAUGGAAAGAGAAACGCUUUCGGUGUGGGCUCAGCACACUUCUCACUAGUGUGUGGACUGCACACCUCCUUCCUUCACAAGCCGCCGUUUCCCCGUCUUUGAAAAGGGGAUGAGGACCCCCACCCCACAGUGCUGCUGAGGGGAUGUGGCCAAACCGCACAGCCAAGUGCUGGGCGCCUAGCUGGGCCUCAGUGGGGGUGAGUCUCCUGUGUCCUGAGUCUGUCCUGCAGGCAGCAGCGAGCCGGUGCAGCCAGAAAGGAAGAAGGGGAGGAGGGGCGUUCCUUUGAGCCUUGCCGCUGGUUGGGCCCACUGAGGCAGGAAGGGGCCUGCUGGGAGGCUCGUAGAGGGGUCACAGCCAGUGGCUCAACAGCGCCCCCCAGCCUCCUGCUGCCCGGCCUCUCCUCAGGUCCACUGACCUGGCUCGCCUUCCCCGUCAGGGCUGAUGUCCACACACCUCCCGGGAGCUCGCUGGGCCCGGCUCCUUCAGUCCUGGGCAGGAUGUGGAAGGCGCACCCAUCCCCCGAUGAGGACACCCGGGCACGGGCGAGGAAGUGACUCGGCCUGUGUCGCCCGGCCGGGGAGUCACGCCGGACCUGGGGCCUUUCUGCUGUAAUGGAGGGGAGACCCCUGCGCCUGCCCCAGCCCCGCCCUCCCUGCCUCUGGCAGGCCCGGGCCCUCAGCCAGCCUUGGCCCCUCUGCGCCCGGACGCGCGGACGCUGGGCGCGCCAGGGCCUCAGUUUCCCUGGAAGCGUCCAGCCCCCUCCUGUCCCCGCCGCGGCGACAGGCUCUUUCCUCGGGGAAUCCGGCCUGGCCUCGGGGUAGGGGCGGGCGAGAAGCCGCGCGGAGCGGCGGGGAAUGGACGUGUGGAAGCGGAGGUCACUUACCGUGUCCCGGCCUGGCCGCCACUGUCCUGGCCCGGGUUCCGCAAGGCCUGAAAUAGUCGCAGAGUCAGCCCCGCCCCGCCCG
rnacentral:lncRNA from 1 species